GCAGCAGGAUCUGAAGUACACCCGAGGACUUAAGGAACCAUGCCGAAGUCACACAUCGAAGCAGGGACUGUCUUCAGACCCAGCAGCUCCACGCAGCCAUGGCUGACACCUUCCUGGAGCACAUGUGCCGCCUGGGCAUUGACUUCACGCCCAUCACAGCCCGUAACACUAGCAUAAUUUGUACCAUUGGCCCUGCUUCCCGAUCUGUGGAGAUGCUCAAGGAGAAGCUGGAAUGAAUGUGGCUCGGCUGAAUUCCUCUCAUGGAACCCAUGAAUACCAUGCAGAGACCAUCAGGAAUGUCCAUGCAGCCACAGAACGCUCUGCAUCUGGUCCCAUUCUCUACCGUCCCAUUGCGGUGGCUCUGGAUACAAAGAGACCUGAGAUCCGGACUGGACUCAUCAAGGACAGCGACACUGCAGAGGUGGAGCUGAAGGAGGGAGCCACUCCGAAGAUUACCCUGGACAAUGCCUACAUGGAGAAGUGUGAGGAGAACAUCCUGUGGCUGGACUAUAAGAACAUCUGCAAGGUGGUGGAGGUGGGCAGCAAGAUCUACCUGGACGAUGGGCUCCUCUCACUGCAGGUGAAGGAGAAAGGUGCUGACUUCCUGGUGACAGAGGUGGAGAAUGGUGGCUCCUUGGGCAGCAAGAAGGGUGUGAACCUGCCCAGAGUUGCUGUGGACCUCCCUGCCAUGUCAGAAAAGGACAUCCAGGACCUGAAGUUUGGGGUGGAACAGGAUGUGGACAUGGCGUUUGCGUCUUUCAUCCACAAGGCAGCUGACAUGCAUGAAGUUAGGAAGGUCCUGGGAGAGAAGGGGAAGAACAUCAAGAUCAAUGAAAUCGAGAACCGUGAAGGUGCCCGCAGGUUUGAUGAGAUUCUGGAGGCCAUCAAUGGGACCAUGGUGGCUCGUGGUGACCUGGGCAUUGAGAUUCCUGCAGAGGAGGUCUUCCUGGCUCAGAAGAUAAUGAUCAGGUGAUGCAACUAAGCCGGGAAGCCUGUCAUCUGUGCCACACAGAUGCUGGAGAACAUGAUUAGGAAGCCACGCCCUACCCGUGCUGAAGGCAGUGAUGUGGCCAAUGCAGUCCUAGAUGGAGCAGACUGCAUGAUGGUGUCCGGAGAAACAGCCAAGGGGGGCUACCCUCGGGAGGCUGUUCACAUGCGGCACCUGAUUGCCCGAGAGGCAGAGGCUGCCAUCUACCACUUGCAGUUAUUAGAGGAACUCCUCCGCCUUGGCAGCCAUUACCAGCGACUCCACAGAAGCUGCCGCCAUGGGCACAGUGGAGGCCUCCUUCAAGUGCUGCAGUGGGGCCAUUAUCCUGCUCACCAAGUGGCCAGGUACCGCCCUCGGGCUCCUAUCAUUGCUGUGAUGUGCAAUCCUAGACUGCUCACCAGACCCAUCUGUAUCGUGGCAUCUUCCCUGUGCUGUGUGAGGAUGCUGAGGAUGUUGACCUUCGUGUAAACUUGGCCACGGAUGUUGGCAAAGCUCGAAGCUUCUUCAAGAAGGGAGAUGUGGUCACUGUGCUGACCGGGUGGCGCCCUGGCUCUGGCUUCAACAACACCAUGCGUGUAGUGCCUGUACCUUGAUGGCUCUCUGGAACCCCUCUCCUAGCUCCUGUCCUUUCCCCUCCCCUAUCCUAUCCAUUAGGGCAGCAACGCUUGUAGUGCUCACUCUGGGCCAUAGUGUGGCGCUAGUGGGCUGGGACACCAGGGAAAAUCAGUGCCUCUGAAACACGCAAUAGAGCCCAGGUAUUUUUAUGGCCCUGCUUGAGCCAGAGGUGAAGGAGGAAUGCAGGAUUGGAAACCCUCUGACUUUAUCACAGAAGGGCAGCUGCAUCUCUGUGUACUUUGCUUCUGUAGAAAGUUGUCCAGAGAAUUCCCAGCCCUAGCCUGGAGUCAGGAGAUGGCAAGAGUAGGGGCUGAGGGCAUGGGGCCCAGGGUCCCAGUGUAGAUGACUUUUGGCCCUGGCCCUGACUUGCUUUCCCAACAGCUUUGGCCUCACAUC